UGGGGAAUCUUCCGCAAUGGACGAAAGUCUGACGGAGCAACGCCGCGUGAGUGAAGAAGGUUUUCGGAUCGUAAAACUCUGUCUUUUGGGGCGAACGUGAGUAUGGUGAACAAUCAUAGUCAGUGACGGUACCAAAGGAGGAAGCCACGGCUAACUACGUGCCAGCAGCCGCGGUAAUACGUAGGUGGCAAGCGUUGUCCGGAAUUAUUGGGCGUAAAGAGCGCGUAGGCGGGAUAGUCAGUCUGUUGUAAAGUGCGGGGCUCAACCCCGUGAUGGCAAUGGAAACAGCUAUUCUUGAGUGCAGGAGAGGAAAGUGGAAUUCCCAGUGUAGCGGUGAAAUGCGUAGAUAUUGGGAGGAACACCAGUGGCGAAGGCGACUUUCUGGACUGUGUCUGACGCUGAGGCGCGAAAGCCAGGGGAGCGAACGGGAUUAGAUACCCCGGUAGUCCUGGCCGUAAACGAUGGGUACUAGGUGUGGGAGGUAUCGACCCCUUCCGUGCCGGAGUUAACGCAAUAAGUACCCCGCCUGGGGAGUACGGUCGCAAGACUGAAACUCAAAGGAAUUGACGGGGUCAUAGCUGUUUCCUG
rnacentral:rRNA from 1 species